rnacentral:lncRNA from 1 species
GGGAAUUUGAAGUGCCUGACUGGGUGGCCGGGAGACGGAGUCUCGGGGUCGCGUGCACCUGGGCGGCCAGGGAGGCUCCAGUGCCCGGGAGAAAGGCAAGAAAACUGAGGCACAGAGAGAUUGUCACACAGCCAGUUUCUUUCAAAAUGAAGAUUCACGCAGUGAUUGUAACUGUCUUGAUGAGCCAGGUUGUAGUUUACAAAGUUUUAUUCCAGAAGGAAAAAAGCCACUUCACCUAGAAAUUUUGCAAACAAAUCAACUUUUACUCUGUGAGUAAUCCAGGGCCUAUCAAGACUACAUUUUAGUUGACUGCAAGGCCUCUGAGGCACGGGAAUUCACAGCUGAGUUCUUGGAGAAGGUCCUUGAGCCAUCUGGAUGGCGGACAGUCUGGCACAUGAUGUGCUCAAGGUGCUGCUUGAGGCCACAGAUGUGGACAUUUCAGCCUUGAAGGCAGUGGUGCAGCUUGCUGAGCCAUACCUCUGUGAAUCUUGAGCGAGUACUUUCACCUUGGAGUGUGUGAAAGAGCUCCUCGAGCUGAAGGAACAUCAGUUGCCCCUGAAGGAGCUGGGUGGUGUUUGAUGAUUCUGGAGACAGCACUUGUAACUUGUAACUGAGCAUGUCAGCUAGGAAGGAGGUAUCUGGUCAGAGAAGGUGUUUUCUGAGGCUGCUUCCUGGAUCCCUAGGGUUUGUGUUCCUGCCAUUCAGCCUAUUUGGCAGUUAUUUCCACCUGUACAAACAGACCCUUUGUCCCUUACAUGAGAAAGAAAGCCCACACCUGGAUUCAUAUUAAUAGAUAUUCAUCCAUCUAAGACUUAUUGAGCACCUACUGUGUGCCAGGCACUGCUCUGGGAACUGCAGCCACGUGAACAAAGCCAUGUAAAUAAAGCUGGGACAGAACACAGUUCAGCUUUGCCUUCUACUGACAGGUGGCAAGUCCUCAGGAUAGCCACUGAGCAAGCCUGUAAGGCUAUUGGUCUGCCCAUUCUGGUUUCUUCACCAAUGAGAAAACUGGGACCUGGGGAGUUUGCAGAAGCCAUCCAAGGGCACCUGCUUCUCACAGCACAGCAGCUUCCUGCAGCCCUCCCUCCUGUCUUGUUUCUCCCUUAAUUGAGAGGAGAGGCCAGAACCAGAUGCAGGCAGUUCCAACAGUAAUGAAUUGCUCUAAGGUGUGGAUCCAAGAACCGGUGACAAGGUCAGGAAAUUCCAUCCCGGGACACUGACCCAACUAAGAGACUGUGCAUGAUGGCUAAGUUCAGAGCUCUGAGGAGAUGGUAAAACUCAUUUGCAACGAAACAAGAUAUUUUCCAACUCUGCAGCCAGAAACCAUCCUCCUGGCUGUCUCACCAUCAGCGCCACCUCUCCGUGGGUCUGGAGUCUUGAGGAGCCAGGACUGGACUGGGAUGUAAGGUUGGGUCUUCCGAGCUGUAGAUGGGAGCAGGAAGAUGUAUCUCCAUUCACGAUCUCAGUACAAGGCUCAGCUAUCUCCCGGCAACUCGCCCAUCAUCUGUUUCUGAGUUCUUCUGACAUACAGGUGCAGAAAGCUGGAAGUGAUGCUCCAGGGAGUUUAUGUCUCCCCAUCUUGACCCACACCAAUACCUGAGGCUCGUUGCUUUGAUUCAAGUCCGGACAAGCUCUAAGGUUCAGCUCACACUGGGAGUCACGCUGCAGGAGCUCCUGGGAGUCUGUGAACGGUGGUGAUGCAGAAAAGCAAAGCGUGUAUAUCUGUUUUAGUCCUCCCUCAGAUCUGCUGAGGACACCUUGAGCCUGAAGUGAAAUCACAGUGGCUCUCAGGAAGAAGGGUGACUGUCUGGUGUGCAGUUGUGCUGCCACGGCAAAGGGAACUUUAAAACAUAGAACUGCCAUGUAGAAGCUCAGGAAAUAUCCAUGGUCUGUCAUCUCUUUUGGUCAUAGAAUCAAAAAAAAUGGAAGACGAGAAAAGGCAGUGAAGACUGACAGCCUGUUGGUUGCUAUUCCAGUCGUGUCUGCUCCAUACGCGCCCUCCAUCUCAUCCCACCCAGUCAGUAUAUUUUCACCAGGCAGUGUUGCAGAAAUGUCUGUGGACUCCAGUUCUAUUGCAGUCAGGCAGCAUUUACAGGUUUGACUUUCAACUGACCAUGGCAGGAAGUCUAGAGGCAAUUAUAGCCAACACCUGCUCUAUGUGCGUGCCGGGCAGGUGGUGGCUGAUUCCUUGCCUCCAAUCCAUGAUGUGUUUCCUAUCAGCUCAGAAUAAUAACAGUGACACCUCUGCUUCUUCUCUGUCUGGGGGAGCUCAAGGCACUUUACUCUGAAAACCCUCAAAUUACUGGCAUUUCUUUUAGUGAAGAUAUCAAAUUAAUGACUGAAAAAAAUGUAGAAGAUGGUUAUUGGUGAUGUUAAAAGACAAGUUUAACCCACUUCCACACAACAUGUCUUACAAGCGUAAAGUAUUUGAGUAGAGAAAACUAUGAAUCUAAAAUUGAACAAGAUGUGAAUUUAGACAGACAGCGUUUGUGGUCACAGAUGUGCCGAGAUGAAGACUGGAGGAAGGGCACAGUUUCUGUAGCAGUGACUUCCACCCAGGGUGUGUCUUGCUAUUGUGUGAAAUGAUUUUUGACACUGGACAAAUCUCUACUUCCACUUACAAUGUUUUGCCAGCUAGCUGAGGCAUUCUGGGAGGGUGAGGAGCCUGGGCUUGGGCUGACCUCAGGAAAUCCUGUGUAAAGGGCUUUUGCACACUCAGAAGCAGGCCAGGUUCACCGCUGUUAUGUGCAAUAUUCACUCCUGGCUCUUGCUUCUGAGCCUUGGCAAACCUGAGUCCUAAGAGGCCAAUGAAAAGGAAAACACGUUAAGGAGCCAGGGCGCUUCUUGGAUAUCAGCCUGAAUAGUUCUGUUUCAUCUGGACCCCAAUUUUACUCUCCUGCUGUUUUACACGGAACUAAAAAGAGCUUUACAGAGGACCAGAUAGACUGCAGGUCCCUAGGCAGUCAGGGGCCAGGCAAGGCAUAGGAGGGUGUCAGGCCUCUGAGCUCAAACUAGGCCAUCAUAUCCCCUGUGACCUGCACGUACACAUCCAGAUGGCUGGUUCCUGCCUUAACUGAUGGCAUUGUCUUGUGAAAUUCCUUCUCCUGGCUCAUCCUGGCUCAAGAGCUCCCCUACUGAGCACGUUGUGACCCCCACUCCUGCCUGCCAGAGAACAACCCCCCUUUGACUGUAAUUUUCCUUUACCUACCCAAAUCCUAUAAAAUGGCCCCACCCCUAUCUCCCUUCACUAACUCUCUUUUCGGACUCAGCCUGCCUGCACCCAGGUGAAAUAAACAGCCUUGUUGCUCACACAAAGCCUGUUUGGUGGUCUCUUCACAGGGACUCGCAUGAAAUUUGGUGCUGUGGCUCGGAUAGGGGGACCUCCCUCGGGAGAUCAAUCCCCUGUCCUCCUGCUCUUUGCUCCAUGAGAAAGAUCCACCUACGACCUCAGGUCCUCAGACCAAGCAGCCCAAGAAACAUCUCACCAAUUUCAAAUCUGGAAAGCAGCCUCUUUUUACUCUCUUCUCCAACCUCCCUCAAUAUCCCUCAACCUCUUUCUCUUUUCAAUCUUGGUGCCACACUUCAAUCUCUCCCUUCUCUUAAUUUCAAUUCGUUUCAUUUUCUGGUAGAGACAAAGGAGACACGUUUUAUCUGUGGACCCAAAACUCCGGCGCCGGUCACGGCCUGGGAAGGCAGCCUUCCCUUGGUGUUAAUCAUUGCAGGGAUGCCUCUCUGAUUAUUCACCCACGUUUCAGAGGUGUCGGACCACACAGGGACGCCUGCCUUGGUCCUUCACCCUUAGUGGCAAGUCCUGCUUUUCUGGGGGAGGGGCAAGAACCCCAACCCCUUCUCUCCAUGUCUCUACCUCUUCUCUGCUUUUCUGGGGGAGGGGCAAGAACCCCUCAACCCCUUCUCCUUCACCCUUAAUGGCAAGUCCCACUUUUCUGGGGGAGGGGCAAGAACCCCUCAACAUCUUGUCCUUCACUGUUAGCAGCAAGUCUCACUUUUCUGGGGGAGGGGCAAGAACCCCUCAAACCCUUGUCCUUCACCGUCAGCAGCAAGUCCCGCUUUUCUGGGAGAGGGGCAAGAACCUCUCAACCCCUUCUCCUUCACCCUUAGAGGCAAGUCCCGCUUUUCUGGGGGAGAGGCAAGAACCCCUUAUUUCCACAGCCCGACCUCUUAUCUCUGUGCCCUGAUCCCUUAUUUCUGUGCCCUGACCUCUUAUCUCUGCACCCCAACCCCUUAUUUCUGCACCCCCACCUCUUUCCCACUUUUCUGGAGGGUAAGAACCCCCGAACCCCUUCCCUCCAUGUCUCUACUCUCUCUUUUCUCUAGCCUUGCUUCCUUCACUAUGGGCAACCUUCCACCCUCCAUUCCUCCUUCUUCUCCCUUAGCCUGUGUUCUCAAGAACUUAAAACCUCUUCAACUCACACCUGACCUAAAACCUAAAUGCCUUAUUUUCUUCUGCAAUGCCGCUUGAUCCCAAUACAAACUUGGCAGUAGUUCCGAAUAGCCGGAAAACAGCACUUUCAAUUUUUCCAUCCUACAAGAUCUAAAUAAUUCUUGUCGUAAAAUAGGCAAACAGUCUGAGGUGCUGACGUCCAGGCAUUCUUUUACACAUUGGUCCCUCCCUAGUCUCUGUUCCCAAUGCAACUCGUCCCAAAUCUUCCUUCUUUCCCUCCCACCUGUCCCCUCAGUCCCAACCCCAAGUGUCGCUGAGUCUUUCUAAUCUUCCUUUUCUACAGACCCAUCUGACCUCUCCCCUCCUCUCCAGGCUGAGCUAGGUCCCAAUUCCUCCUCAGCUUCCGCUCCUCCACCCUGUAAUCCUUUUAUCACCUCGCCUCCUCACACCCAGUCCGGCUUACAGUUUCGUUCCUUGACUAGCCCUCCCCCACCUGCCCAGCAAUUUACUCUUAAAAAGGUGGAUGGAGCUAAAAGCAUAGUCAAGGUUAAUGCUCCUUUUUCUUUAUCCCAAAUCAGACAGCGUUUAGGCUCUUUUUCAUCAAAUAUAAAAAUCCAGCCCAGUUCAUGGCUCGUUUGGCAGCAACCCUGAAAUGCUUUACAGCCCUAGACCCUAAAAGGUCAAAAGGCCAUCUUAUUCUCAAUAUACAUUUUAUUACCCAAUCUGCUCCCGACAUUAAAUAAAACUUCAAAGAUUAAAUUCCAGCCCUCAAACCCCACAACAGGAUUUAAUUAACCUUGCCUUCAAGGUGUACAAUAAUAGAGUAGAGGCAGCCAAGUAGUAACAUAUUUCUGAGUUGCAAUUCCUUGUCUCCACCAUGAGACAAACCCCAGCCACAUCUCCAGCACACAAGAAUUUCCAAAUGCCUAAACCGCAGUGGCCAGGCAUUCCUCCAGCACCACCUCCCCCAGAAGCUUGCUACAAGUGCCAGAAAUCUGGCCACCAGGCCAAGGAAUGCCCGCAGCCCGGGAUUCCUCCUAAGCCAUGUCCCAUCUGUGGGGGACCCCACUGGAAAUCGGACUGUUCAACUCACCUGGCAGCCACUCCCAGAGCCCCUGGAACUCUGGCCCAAGGCUGUCUGACUGACUUCUUCCCAGAUCUUCUCGGCUUAGUGGCUGAAGACUGACAUGCCCGAUCGCCUCAGAAGCCCGAUAGACCAUCAUGGAUGCCGAGCUUUAGGUAACUCUCACAGUGGAGGGAUUCUAAAGACCAUUUCCACAUGGAGAAGCUGCCAGAACAAGCACUGCUACCCUUGGAGGCCAUUGACAUUGUGAGGUCGCUGGGACUGAAAGGAGGUUGACCAGAAGUUCUGUUUGGCAAUGCAAAGCCAGGAGGAAAAGUUAAUGGAGUUUGUCCCCCGGGUCCCAAGAAAGCUGACCCAGGACGAUGAAGCUAGAAUUUGUGUUCUAGGAGGUGCUGCUUCUUCCAGGAAAGUCUACUCAAAGCACACACUGUGAGCUGCUGCAUGUCUCUUGAGCUAGUUCACUGCAGUUUUCAUGAUGAAAGUGAUCUGUUUCAGUAAACUUUCUGUUAUUUGAGAGCAUGGGAAAAAUAUUUGCUGUGAUUUCCCAAUUCCCCAUUUUUUCUGAUUCUUUGUUGCAGUUUCCACAACUUUGUUAUCAGGCUGUGACAGAGGUUUGUGAACUGAUGAAAGCUCCAGAGCCUCCCAGGCCCUCUGAGUCUGAUGCCUGCACUCCACAAUCAGGCCUCAAGCUCAGGGCGCCUGCCACCAACCCACGCUGGGCUUCAGGGGCAGGCAGCACUUGAAUGGGGUUUGGUUAUUGUCUUUCUUUAUUUUCUCUUAUUUUAAGCCUUAAAAAAAAAAAGAUAAGGUCUUGCUCUAUUGCCCAGGCUGGAGAGAAAUGGUGUGAUCAUAGCUCACUGCAGCUUUGAAUUCCUGGGUUCAACCGAUCCUCCCACCUAAGCCUCCCGAGUAACCAGGACUGCAAGUAUGCACCACCACACCCAGUUAAUUAAAUUUGUGUGUGUGUGUGUGUGUAGAGGUGGGUUCUUGCUUUGUUGCCCAGGCUGGUCUUGAACUCUUGAGUUCAGACAAUCCUGCCACCUCAACCUCACAAAGUGCUGGAAUUACAGGCGUGAGCCACUGCACUCAGCCUCCUUAAGCCAUUUGCUUAAGUGGCUUUAUUGCAAAACAAUAUCAGAAUAACAAAGAAAUAUAAGGUCAAACUUUCCCUGUUCCCAUCUAGUCCAAUAAGCAUUGCUGCUCUUGCCAGGGAUUCUCGCCCAUCUCCAUGUGCCAGUGCAAUCCAUACUGGUUGUUCUCCUUGGCUACCCCACAUCUGAGUCUCUGCCUUGUCUGCAUUCUUCCCCACUUUAUGAAGAGAUGAGUCAGUGCCUGAUUUUUUCUGCCUCUCUUGUCACUAGGGCACAGCCAUGUGCAUGGGCCCUGUCACUCAGAAGCCCCCAUCCACCAACAACAUGGCUCUGGGGGCCUCCUCUCUCUGGAAGAAUUGGCAGUUUUAGCAAGAAAGGUUUUCAGAGGCAGCAAUGAUGGUGGAGAUGUCCAGGGCCAGUGGCAGGUCAAACCAUUCUCUGUGUCAUUUGGGGCAGUGUUUAUGCUGUCCCUCAUUUUGGUUCCCUAAGCCUCCGAACAUGUACGUGAAUUUCCGAAUAUUCUCAAUUAAAUUGUUUUUCUGUUGAAAUUGGCCUGGUUGCUUUCAACUAUGACAAACCUAGCUAUAUAAGUAUUAUUUUGUAGUGUUGGGAUUGAUAGAACUUUAUGUUCUACACAUUAGCAGAAUACCAUGUGUAUUUUUCCAUUUGACAUAAUCUUUUAUCUUUCCAUUGAUAAGUAUUAUUACUAUUUAGUGAUAUAUUAUUUGAGUUCUCUUGCCCCUUUUGGGUAGCCCAUGUUAACAGUAAUACCCAGCUGCUACACUGAGAGCCUCUGAGACUUACUGGCUUCAGGGGAGACAGCACAUUAUCAGCUGUGGUGGCCAUGGCCGAGACUCCUUUUGCCUGAGAAAAGCAGAGGAAAAUGUAGAAGGGACUUCGUCUUGCAUCUGAGACACCAGCACAGCCACAGGGUGGUAGAGCACCAAGGGGGCUUUUGGAAUCUUUGAUUCUGGGAUGUGGCUCUUGGAAGGCAUUUCUGGACUUGCCCUGGGCCAGGGGGAGCCCACUGUCUUAAAGGGUGAGUCCCAGGCCAGGCAGCAUUUGCCACAGUCGACUGAAGAGCCCUGGGGGCCUUCAAGGGACAUAGAAGGUAAUCUGAAAGUACUCCGCAUAGGCCUGUGGGGUGGUGGCCAUGGGGCAAGGCUGCCCUGCCUCUGGAAAGGGUAGGAGAGAGUGAGAAAGACUGCAUCCUGUUGUCCGAGUGCCAGCUCAGCCACAGUACAAUAGAACACCAGCUAGGCUCCCAGCCAGCACCUCUGGACCAGCCUGGAAACUGGGGGUAACUCAUCGCCCUGAAGGGAAGGACAAAGGCCUGGCUGGCUUUGCCGUCUGCUGAUUGUUGAGCCCUAGGCGGGGAGCGGUUACAGUCGGCCUUGGGUGAGACUCAGAGCUGCACUGGCUUCAGGUCUGACUCAGCACAGUCACAGUGAUGGUGGCCACAGGGGUGCUUAUGUCACUCUAUCCCAGCUUUAGGUGGCUCAGAACAGACACACUCCAUUUCUUUGGGAGAAAGUAAGAAAGAGAACAAGAGUCUCUCUGAUAAUCCAGAGAGUUCUCCCAGAUCUUGUCCAAGAUCAUCAAGGCAAUACCACUGAGUCUGCAAAAACUGCAGUGUUACUGGGCUUGGGGUGCCCCCUAAAACAGAUACAACUUAGAUCACAACACCCAUGGCCUUUUAAAUAUGUGAAAAGCCUUCCCAAGAAGGACGGGUACAAACAAGCCCAGAUAGCAAAGGCUACAAUAAAUACCUAACUCUUCAAUUCCAGACACAAAUGGACACCUACAAGUAUCAAGACAUUCCAGGAAAAAAAUGACCUCACCAAAUGAACUAAAUAAAGCAUCAGGGACCCAUCCUGAAGAAACAGAUACGUGACCUUUUAGACAGAGAAUACAAAAUAGCCACUCUGAGGAAACUCAAAGAAAUUCAAGAUAACACAGAGAAGGAAUUCAGAAUUCUAUCAGAUAAAUUUAACAAAGAGAUUGAAAUCAUUCAAAAUGAUCAAACAGAUACUGUGGAGAUAAAAAAUGGAAUUGGCAUACUAAAGAAUGCAUCAGAGUCUUAAUAAUAGAAUUAAUCAAGUAGAAGAAAGAAUUAGCUUGAAGACAGGCUAUUUCAAAAUACACAGUUAGAGGACUCAAAAGAAAAUAGAAUAAAAAAUAAUGAAGCAUGUCAAAGAAUCUAGAAAAUAGCCUCAAAAGGACAAAUCUAAGAGUUAUUGGCCUUAAAGGGGAGACAAAGAAAGAGAUAAGGGUAGAAUGUUUAUUCAAAGGGAUAAUAACAGAGACUUUUCGAAACCCGGAUAAUAAUAUCAAUAUCCAAGUACAAGAAAACAGAACACCAAGCAGAUUAAAUCCAAAGAAGACUGCCUCAAGGCAUUUAAUAAUCAAAUUCUAAAGAUCAAGGGUAAAGAAAGGAUCCUAAAAGUAACAAGGGAGAAGAAACAGAUAACAUACAAUGGAUCUCCAGUAUGUCUUGCAGUGGACUUUUCAGUGGAAACCUUAAAGUCCAGGAGAGAGUGGCACAACACAUUUAAAGUGCUGAAAGAAAGAAACUUUUACCCUAGAAUAGUAUAUCCAGCAAAAAUAUUCUUCUAACAUGAAGAAAAAAUAAAGACUUUCCCAGGCAAACAAAAGCUGAGGGAUUUUAUCAGCACUAGACCUGUCUUAUGAGAAAUGCCAAAGGGAGUACUUCAAUCAGAAAGAAAAGGAUGUUAGUAAGUAAUCAUGCGAAAGUACAAAAUUCAUGGGUAAUAGUAAGCACACAGAAAAACACAGAAUUUUAUAUCCCUGUAACUGUGAUGUGUAAACUACUAUUAUUCUAAGUAGAAAAACUAAAUGAUGAACCAAUCAAAAAUAAUAACUAUAACAAUUUUUCAAGCCAUAGACAGUACUAUAAGAUAUAAAUAGAAACAACAAAAAGUUUAAAAUCAGGACAAAGUUAAGACGUAGAGUUUUUAUUAGUUUCCUUUUUUUUUGCUUCUUUGUUUCUUUGUUUAUGCAAACAAUGUUAAGUUGUUAUCAGCUUAAAGUAACAGGUCAUAAAGAAGCCAGUCAUGGUGUCUCACACUUGUAAUGCCAGCACUUUGAGAGUCCAAGGUGGGUGGAUCACUUGAGGUCAGAAGUUUGAGACCAGCCUGGCCAAUAUGGCGAAACCCCAUCGCUACUAAAAAUACAAAAAUUAGCCAGGUAUGGUGGCACAUGCCUGUAAUCCCAGCUACUCAGGAGGCUGAGGCAUGAGAACCCAGAAUGUGGAGGUUGAAGUAAGCCAAGAUCACACCACUGUACUCCAGCUUGGAUGACAGAGCAAGACUCUGUUUCAGAAGGAAAAAAAAAAGUCAUAAGAUAGUAUUUGCAAGCCUCAUAGUGACCUCAAACCAUAAAAACAUACAAUGAAUACACAAAAAGUAAAAAGCUAGAAACUAAAUCAUAUUACUAGAGAAAAAUCACUUUCACUAAAGGAAGGAAAGAAAGAAGGCAGAGAACAUCACAGAACAACUAGAAAACAAGUUAACACAAUGGCGGGAGUAAGUUCUUACUUAUCAAUAUUAACAUUGAUUGUAAAUAAGAACACCAAUAAAAUGAAAGAUUACAUCAAGUUAAAAAGUUAAAAAGCUUCUGCACAGCAAAGGAAACAGUCAAUAAAGUGGUAACCCCGCAGAGUGGGCAAAAAAUAUUUGCAAACUACCCAUGUGACAAGGGAUUAAUAACCAGAAUAUAUAAGGAGCUCAAACAACUCUAGAGAAAAACAAAUCUAAUAAUCUGAUCAAAAAAUAGGCAAGAUAUUUGAAUAGACAUUUCUCAAAAAAGACAUACAAAUGGCAAACAGUCAUAUGAAAAGGUGCUCAACAUCAUUGAUCAUCAGAACAAUGCAAAUAAAAACUACAAUGAAAUGUCAUCUCAUCCCUGUUAAAAUCGAUUGUAUCCAAAAGACAGGCAAAAACAAAUGCUGGUGAAAUGUGGAGAAAAGGGAACCCUCAUACACUGUUGGUGGGAAUGUAAGUUAGCCCAACCACUAUGAAUAGUGGUUUGAAGGUUCCUCAAAAAGCUAAAUAUGGAGCUACCAUAUGGUUCAGCCAUCCCACUGCUGGGUAUAGACCCAAAAGAAAGGAAAUCAGUAUAUUGAAGAGAUGUCUGCACUCCCGUGUUUGUUUCAGCACUGUUCACAGUAGCAAAGAUUUUGAAACAACCCAAGUGUCCCUCAAUAGAUGAAUAGAUAAACGAAAUGUGGUGCUUUUACACAAUGGAGUACUGUUCAGCCAUAAAAAUGAAUGAGAUCCUGUUCUUUACAACAACAUGGGUGGAAAUGAAGAUCAUUAUAUUAAGUGAUAUAAGCCAGACACAGAAAGACAAACAUUACAUCUUCUCAUGUACUUAUGGGAUCUGAAGAUCAAAAUAAUUGAACUCCAUGGACAUAGAGAGUAGAAGAAUGGUUACCAUAGGCUGGGAUUAGUAGUGGGACAGGUGGGGCAGGGGGCAGGUUAGGACAGGUAAUAGGUACAAAAAUAAUAGGAAGAAUGAAUAAGACCUACUAUUUGUUAGCAUAAAAUGGUACUUGUAAUCAAUUACACUUAAUUAUAUGUUUUAAAAUAACUCAAAGAGUAUAAUUGGAUUCUUUGUAACACAAAGAAUAAAUGUUUGAGGAGAUGGAUACCCUAUUCAGCAUGAUGUGUUAUUAUGCAUUGCAGGCCUGUAUCAAAGCAUUUCAAGUACGCUAUAGAUAUAUACACCUACUAUGUACUCACAAAAAUUAACAAAUUAAAAAAUUAAAGAAAACAGAGUGAGAAUGGGAUGGUGAGCAGGUGGUAUAAGGUAUAUGAUAUUGGUGUUCAGACUGUUAUCCAAAACCCUAAGAAUAGGCCAGGUGCGGUGGCUCACACCUGUAAUCCCAGCACUUUGCGAGGCUGAGGCGGGUAGAUCAUGUGGUGAGGAGUUCAAGACCAGCCUGGCCAAGAUGGUAAAACCCUGUCUCUAGUAAAAAUACAAAAAUUAGCCAGGCAUGGUGGUGGGCGCCUGUAAUCCCAGCUACUUAGGAGGCUGAGGCAGAGAAUUGCUUGAACCCAGGAGGCAGAGGUUGCAGUGAGCUGAGAUCAUGCCACUGCACUCCAGCCUGGGCAACAGAGCGAGACUCUGUCUCAAAAAAAAAAGGCAAAAAAAACAAAA